CAUUGAAUGGCUGAAUUCUAAGCAAUGGUCUCUUAAACCAAUUUAUAGUUUUAAUAACUUUCAAUG